AGUGAAUGCUGGCGGUAGGCCUAACACAUGCAAGUCGAACGGCAGCACAGUAAGAGCUUGCUCUUACGGGUGGCGAGUGGCGGACGGGUGAGGAAUACAUCGGAAUCUACUUUUUCGUGGGGGAUAACGUAGGGAAACUUACGCUAAUACCGCAUACGACCUACGGGUGAAAGCAGGGGAUCUUCGGACCUUGCGCGAUUGAAUGAGCCGAUGUCGGAUUAGCUAGUUGGCGGGGUAAAGGCCCACCAAGGCGACGAUCCGUAGCUGGUCUGAGAGGAUGAUCAGCCACACUGGAACUGAGACACGGUCCAGACUCCUACGGGAGGCAGCAGUGGGGAAUAUUAGACAAUGGGCGCAAGCCUGAUCCAGCCAUACCGCGUGGGUGAAGAAGGCCUUCGGGUUGUAAAGCCCUUUUGUUGGGAAAGAAAAGCAGCAGGUUAAUACCCCGCUGUUCUGACGGUACCCAAAGAAUAAGCACCGGCUAACUUCGUG
rnacentral:rRNA from 1 species